UAGGGAAUCUUCCACAAUGGACGCAAGUCUGAUGGAGCAACGCCGCGUGAGUGAAGAAGGUCUUCGGAUCGUAAAGCUCUGUUGUUGGUGAAGAAGGAUAGAGGCAGUAACUGGUCUUUAUUUGACGGUAAUCAACCAGAAAGUCACGGCUAACUACGUGCCAGCAGCCGCGGUAAUACGUAGGUGGCAAGCGUUGUCCGGAUUUAUUGGGCGUAAAGCGAGCGCAGGCGGAAUGAUAAGUCUGAUGUGAAAGCCCACGGCUCAACCGUGGAACUGCAUCGGAAAACUGUCAUUCUUGAGUGCAGAAGAGGAGAGUGGAACUCCAUGUGUAGCGGUGGAAUGCGUAGAUAUAUGGAAGAACACCAGUGGCGAAGGCGGCUCUCUGGUCUGCAAACUGACGCUGAGGCUCGAAAGCAUGGUAGCGAACAGGAUUAGAUACCCUGGU
rnacentral:rRNA from 1 species